AAGAGCUUAACAGGACUUCUGCGGGCGGACUGCUGAGUUCUAUCACACAAGGAGCCAAUGAGAUUGCAUCUUCAGUGCGUGCUAGUAUAAUAAGUCAAAGCAAGAAAUACAAACACAGUAAUGAGAAACAAGGGAAUGGGACCUCUGCAGAGACAAGCAAUGGUGAUGCUACUGAGGACACAACUGCUGAAAGCAUUGCUGGGAAUGGGACCUAUGCAGAGACAAGCAAUGGUGAUGCUACUGGGAACACAACUGCUGAAAGCACUGCUGAUAGUCAUCAAGUAAAUGGUAAUUGUAGAAUAGAGGAAAAUUGCAAUGGCUGUGUAAACAGAGAGGGUGUGGAUCAGCA
rnacentral:lncRNA from 1 species